rnacentral:rRNA from 1 species
UGGGGAAUAUUGCACAAUGGGGGAAACCCUGAUGCAGCGACGCCGCGUGAGCGAAGAAGGCUUUCGAGUCGUAAAGCUCUGUCCUAUGAGAAGAUAAUGACGGGAUCAUAGGAGGAAGCCCUGGCUAAAUACGUGCCAGCAGCCGCGGUAAUACGUAUGGGGCGAGCGUUGUCCGGAAUUAUUGGGCGUAAAGGGUACGUAGGUGGGUUUUUAAGUCAGGUGUCAAAGCGUGGAGCUUAACUCCAUUAAGCACUUGAAACUGAAAUACUUGAGUGAAGGAGAGGAAAGUGGAAUUCCUAGUGUAGCGGUGAAAUGCGUAGAUAUUAGGAGGAAUACCGGUAGCGAAGGCGACUUUCUGGACUUUUACUGACGCUCAGGUACGAAAGCGUGGGGAGCAAACAGG